GACGAACGCUGGCGGCGUGCCUAAUACAUGCAAGUAGAACGCUGAAGGAAGGAGCUUGCUCUUUCUGGAUGAGUUGCGAACGGGUGAGUAACGCGUAGGUAACCUGCCUGGUAGCGGGGGAUAACUAUUGGAAACGAUAGCUAAUACCGCAUAAAAUUGAUUAUCGCAUGAUAGUCAAUUAAAAGGUGCAACUGCACCACUACCAGAUGGACCUGCGUUGUAUUAGCUAGUUGGUGGGGUACCGGCUCACCAAGGCGACGACACAUAGCCGACCGGAGAGGGCGAUAGGCCGCACUGAGACUGAGACACGGCCCAGACUCCCACAGGAGGCAGCAGUAGGGAUACUUCGGCAAGCGGCGGAAGUCUGAGCGAGCAACGCCGCGUGAGUGAAGAAGGAUGUCGGAUCGUAAAGCUCUGUUGUAAGGGAAGAAAGAGUGUGAGAGUGGAAAGUUCACACUGUGACGGUAUCUUACGAGAAAGCGACGGCUAACUACGUG
rnacentral:rRNA from 1 species